UACGGAAGGUCCGGGCGUUAUCCGGAUUUAUUGGGUUUAAAGGGAGCGUAGGCCGCAUGUCAAGCGUGCUGUGAAAUGUCCGGGCUCAACCCGGGCCUUGCAGCGCGAACUGGCGUGCUUGAGUCCGCGGAAAGCAGGCGGAAUUCGUCGUGUAGCGGUGAAAUGCUUAGAUAUGACGAAGAACUCCGAUUGCGAAGGCAGCUUGCGGGAGCGCAACUGACGCUGAAGCUCGAAAGUGCGGGUAUCGAACAGG
rnacentral:rRNA from 1 species